ACGGGAGGCAGCAGUGGGGAAUAUUGGGCAAUGGGCGAAAGCCUGACCCAGCAACGCCGCGUGAAGGAAGAAGGCCUUCGGGUUGUAAACUUCUUUUGUCAGGGACGAAGGACGUGACGGUACCUGACGAAUAAGCACCGGCAAACUUCGUGCCAGCAGCCGCGGUAAUACGAGGGGUGCAAGCGUUGUUCGGAAUCACUGGGCGUAAAGGGCGUGUAGGCGGAGCUGCAAGUCAGAUGUGAAAUCCCGGGGCUCAACCCCGGAACUGCAUUUGAAACUGUAGCCCUUGAGUAUCGGAGAGGCAAGCGGAAUUCCUAGUGUAGCGGUGAAAUGCGUAGAUAUUAGGAGGAACACCAGUGGCGAAGGCGGCUUGCUGGACGACAACUGACGCUGAGGCGCGAAAGCGUGGGGAGCAAACAGGAUUAGAUACCCUGGUA
rnacentral:rRNA from 1 species